CAUAUUAAAAAAUGUUCAAAUAAAUUUUUUAAUAUAAUGAUUGUGUUUUUGUAAUAACAUUUAUAUAUAUGUAUGUGUAAACAUAAGUAUUUGCAUAUGAUUUAUACACAUUUUUUUUUUCAAGCAUUUUACAAAAUGUAUAUAAAAAAAAAAAUAAAAUAAAAUAAAAUAAAAAUAAAAAUAUAAUUUAAUAUUUAAAAACUAUUACAACUUCUUACACUAUGUUAUUCCUUUUUCACAAAUAAUUCUCAAUAAAAUGUUAUGAAGCAAAUCACAAAAAAAACGUUAGAAUUAUUAAAAAAUGAGUAGUGCUUAUGCAUAUAAGUAUAUACACAUAAAUAUAUUUUUUUUUAAUAAGCAAAAUAAAAAUUAUGUUAACUUUAUUUUGUUGCUAUUUUAAUUCCUUUAAAGUCGUUACUAAUUUUAACAACAUUUUUCUCAAUUAAACAUUUAGGGUUAUAUUAAAAAAAAAGAAAAAAAAAAAUGUCAUUAUUUGUUAAAAAAUACGAAAUUUUAUUUUAACAAUAACAAUAUACACACACACCUUUUGAAAUACAUUUUAUUUAAUUGUUUUUAUCGAUUUAUUUUCUUUUUACUAAAAUAACAAAUAAUUUUUUAUUAUUUUAAAAAAAAAAAAUACGACAGAACAAAACAAAAUAACACACUCGCAUAUUUAGAUUCAUUUUCAUUAAAUUAUACAAUUUUUAUUUUCUAAAUGGACAAGUACAAGCUGUCUAAAGAAAGGAGAGAUGAAUUAGAGUUUAUAUUUAAUGAAUUCAAUAAAAAGAAAAAAAGGAUUAGAUGGAAACACGUUGUUAUAUAUUUUAAAAUCAAUGGGUAUAUUCCUUAAUAAAAGCGAAUCAGCCGCUUUGUUAGAUGAAUGUAAACAAAACGGUAAUUUAAAUUUAAAUAAUUUUUACGCUAUUAUGCAAGAAUUUUAUUAUGAUGAAAAUAUAGGGAAAAUGAUAUUUUCAUCAUUAAAAAAACAUACUACACAGAAUGCUAAUGGCAUUGCUUUAUCAAAAUUAAAAAAUAUAUUGUUGACAUUAGGUUCUGGCGUAAUGUUAACAGAAGAAGAAGUAGACACUUUUUUAAAAUGGAAUUCAGUGCAAAUGAAAAGAAAGAAAUAUUAUUUGAUGAUUUUAUACACAAGUAAAUACAAAUUAUAUUUCAUUAUUUAUUUUAUCUUACUUUUUAAAAAUCUCUUUUUUUUUUUUUCAUAUAAAAUUGUAAAUUUUAUUUGCUAUAAAAUAUAACUUAAAUUUUAUGCUUGUUAUUUAGGAUACUAAAGGAAUGAUUGACAAAAACGUUUUAUCGACAAAUAACAAAUUAUAUACGUGGAUUCCCUAUUUUUUUUUUCUUUUAUAUAUUAUGACUGACUAUAUGAACAUGCUAGAAGCAAUUUAUUUCAUUUCGUCUUUAUUCAUCAUAUAGCUUAUGUUUAAAACUUAAAAUAUAACAUUCAUUUUUUUUUCUUUUGUUUACACCACUUAUUAAAUUUAUAAAACUAAAAAAAACAUGUUAUUCAUGUUCAUUUCAAACAAAAUAAACAUUUUCUUCAAAUGCUAUUUAUAAUUUCA
ensembl:lncRNA